ensembl:lincRNA C730036E19Rik RIKEN cDNA C730036E19 gene
GGGGAGGGUGGGAACAAGAUGGAAGUUGGAAUACUUAAGCAUUAUUUUAAUUCAUUUGUCAUCAUCCAGAAAAUGUGGUGUUUGGGCAAUUUUGAAAGUGUUCUAAUAGCUCUCUUUAUUCCUUUUCAUAGAAAUUAACAAGUAAUCAUGAAAGCUGUAUUGUAGGAGCCCGCAAUGAAGUCUACUUCCUUUACACCUGUGUUGGUUUGAUGGGGCAGCUUUAAGUUGGAAGCUCUAAAUAAAGCUGCCAUACUUAGCUAUUGUAUACCUCUUCACAUCUAGUAAGUUUCCGAAGCAUUCUCCUUCCCCUCCUCCUCGUGUGUGUCAGUCUCACACCUAGCCAGAGUCAAAGGAUUCUUAAUAAGAAGCAAUCGAAAGCAAUCCUCUCUGCUGGCCUUACAUAAGAACCACCCAGCAGCCGGUCUCCUGAGCCAUCCCUGUCACAUUCUCCUGUCUGCUGAAGACAGGAGCAUCACCGAGAGUUGCUGGGAGAAGAAUGACUCACAGGUGAUACCCGCCACACACGUUAUCCUCAAGGUUGGAAAUAACCACCAAUAAAGGAGCCAGUCAAGAGAGUCCAAGGUAAACUAGAAAGCAAGUGGCCAGUAAAUCCGAAGACCAGAAGCUUCCAAGGUGGGGGAGGCUCAUGAUCCAGAGCCCCAAACAAUUACCUGACUUGCAAGCAAGCAACCAUUGAGACCCAGGAUGAACUCAGGAAUGGACAUGCCACAACGACAGCCCAUAGGGUUGGACAUGCCACAACGACAGCCCAUAGGGUUGGACAUGCCACAACGACAGCCCAUAGGAAUGGACAUGUCACGACGAAACCCCUUCACCUUGCUGAUCUCUAACUCAAAGCCACUCUGCUCCAGGUGAAGUCUCUGCUUUCACCUCUGGAUAAGGAUUCCACACUUGCAUCUGUAAGCUAGUUCAUGGGCAUCUCCACAGAGGCCAUCCGCAGGCAUCUUACAGACACAAGAUCAG